GAUGAACGCUGACAGAAUGCUUAACACAUGCAAGUCGAUGGGGAAGUGGUGCUUGCACCAUGGUAACCAUGGCGGACGGGUGAGUAACGCGUAAGGAACUUGCCUGCGGGACUGGGAUAACAGCAGGAAACUGCUGAUAAUACCGGAUAAGGUCAUUAAGCUGCAUAGCUUGGUGAUGAAAGGAGACGCCUGCGGAGAGCCUUGCGUCCUAUUAGCUAGUUGGAGGGGUAACGGCCCACCAAGGCGAAGAUAGGUAGCCGGCCUGAGAGGGUGGACGGCCACAAGGGGACUGAGAUACGGCCCUUACUCCUACGGGAGGCAGCAGUGGGGAAUAUUGGACAAUGGGGGCAACCCUGAUCCAGCAAUUCUGUGUGCACGAAGACGGUUUUCGGAUUGUAAAGUGCUUUCAGCAGGGAAGAAGGAAGUGACGGUACCUGCAGAAGAAGCGACGGCUAAAUACGUGCCAGCAGCCGCGGUAAUACGUAUGUCGCGAGCGUUAUCCGGAAUUAUUGGGCAUAAAGGGCAUCUAGGCGGCCUUUCAAGUCAGGGGUGAAAACCUGCGGCUCAACCGCAGGCCUGCCUUUGAAACUGAUAGGCUGGAGUACCGGAGAGGUGGACGGGACUGCACGAGUAGAGGUGAAAUUCGUAGAUAUGUGCAGGAAUGCCGAUGAUGAAGAUAGUUCACUGGACGGUAACUGACGCUGAAGUGCGAAAGCCGGGGGAGCGAACAGG
rnacentral:rRNA from 1 species